ensembl:lncRNA
GUAUGGGCCCAAUCCUGAAACACUUAAUCUGCAUUAUUGUUAAUCAGUCUGCCGUGGUCAGAGGGAUUAUUCAUCUGAGGAAGGAUUACUCCUGUGAACAUUUUCAAGACUGGUCCCUGAAUUAAUGUGUGAAUCAGGGUUUCUUUCUCUCUCUCUCUCUCUCUCUCUCUUCCCCCCCCCCCCCCCCCCCCCCCCCCCCCCCCCCCCCCCCCCCCUGCUUUGGUUACAAUCAAGCAGGUUGGCCGAGGAGAGAAAUGAAAAACUAUUCGCAUCUGAAGGAGCUUAGUACUGGAUCGUAGUCAAUGUAGGCAACAAAAGGUAUCAUUGCAAUGAAAGGUAUCUUUGUUUUUGCAGGCCUUUUGUUAUUAAAGUAGCACUGGUGAGAGUUUCAGGUGGUAGAGUGAAGGCUGCAUACAAACCAGGGGUUAAUAGAGGACAGGAAAAUAGAUGAGAGUGCAUAUGCGCGUGUUCACAUGUGUGUUUGGACACAGGAUUUGUGCAGGCACAUACAUACACAUAAUUACAUUCCACCCCAUGAAUUCUGCUAUUUAAACAGAGCUCUCCAGAAUAUUCCUAUUACCCAUGCUGUGAGCACUGUAAACAGGUUGUCGGAGUCCUUUGAAAAGAAUAUCAAGUUUAUUAUCUCCCCCUCCCCUUUCCAUAAUAUGUAUGUCCCUGUACAUAAUGAGUAAUGAAAGCAGGCAAGCUUGCAUUGUGGGGACUAUAAUGCUUCAUGUUAAUAUGGUCCUUUUCAUCACCAAAUCAUUGCACAAUCAUUAACAAAUUAAUGCUCACAGCGCCCCUGUGAGGAAGGGAGAUUUCAGUUUAAUAGGAACCCAUAGCACCGGCAAUUAUAAAGGCUGCCUGAGAUUUCCUACAGUAAAAUCCUGUUCAGCUUUGAUAAUCUGCAUGUGUUCUGUCUGAAAUUAACCAUCUUGGGUGCCUGUGUUCUGCUCAAUUUUUUUUAAGUAUUUCUGGAAAAUUUCAGCUGGAACCAUUUGUCUGUCCCUGAGAGGAACCUAAAGGAGAAGUGGGCUGGCUUGAACUGAGUCAAAUGAGCUUUGCAAAGCUCUCCUGUCCCCAUACUUUACAGUGUGAUACUAACAGCUGACAGGAGGUGAAGAUCUUUCUCAAACCUUUUUGCUAUCUCGGGGAAAAUCUGCCCCAAAGUGGCCAAUUAAAAGCCUUGGGAAAAUGGCAGUGCUCACACGCUCACUGGAGAUGCAGAUUUCCAAACCAGGUUACCCAGUGACUUGAUUCUCACUGGGAAAGCUCUGGCAGAGACACAAGCUACCUCUGCCAUUACAGCACUGCCCUGGGAGAGACCAGAAAAAAUUGGAGCCUGAAUACCUGAGACUAAAGUAAGGAGUUUGUCUUCCCUGUGCUUUCAGAGACUGACAGAUCUCACAGCAAGACUACAGCAGAAGGUGAAAUGAGACAGCCAGGAGAAACUUAGGAAAGCAGAGAUGAGAAAGGAGGCUGGAGAUGGGAUGGGAAGGGGCACGGAUAGGAAAAAAAAAACACUGGGUUUCAAGACUGGGGACAAUGUGUAUACCAGCAAGCAAAGCGGGUGCAUAGCACAGGGCUAAGAAAUACACUGUCUUCAUCUGAGCAUAAUCCUUGGCAUGGCCUUUGUCCCAUAUCAGCCUCCUGCACCCCUUCUAAGGGAAGUUUGGAAGUCAGCACAGACCAAUGGGGUGUUCCCAAUAGGUGGUAUGCCCAAGACUAGUGUUUUUAUUGGGCUAACUCAUACAGAUAUGUGGUGCCAUGUCAUUUGAUCCCACGGUUUAAGAAUUCCCUGGUUAUUUAUUUGUGUUGAUCCAGUUAGCUGUGGAAAGCUUGCGAAGGAGGAAAGGUUGUGCUGAGCUGUAGCAGUCUGCUUCUCAGUAGGAAAAAUCUGGGAAGAAAAGGUGAGAAAUGAAGGGAGAUAAACCUAAUGGGGAACCGUCUGUCGUAGUAUAGCAAGGACAAAGAAGGGAUUAGCAUAUGGAAUACAAUGUAAAAAAAUACCAGAAAAUAAACUGUGUAAAUUAUAGUGAACUGGUAGGCUUGGGGGGACAGCAAUCUCAGGGACAGAGGAGUGAAAAGCUAAAGCAGAAAAAAGAAACAGACUGAGAGGGAAACUCGAUACAUUACCGGGUCUGGGAGGAGGAAUGCAGAAUAAAACAGGGAUGGAUCUGUGAUAGGGAUAAGUGAGAAGAACAGAAUAUCUCUGCCUCGCAAAACCCACUUUUCUGUGUGCCUGAAACGGGAGGCAGAAUGCCCUGGUCCUCUGCAGUCAACAAACGGUACUGCACCUGCAAUCUACUCUCAGCGUCCGUGCAAUUAAAGACUGAAUUAGAAAGCAUUUCUACAGCAAAGGCUAAUCCAGAUUGUGCACGAAAUCUCCAUUCUGGAAACUCUUAACAUUUUAAGUAUUUAAGCACUGUUUGUGUGUGUGUAUGUGUUCACAAUUAUAUUUAUUAUUCAGAUGAUGAACAUGAGGCAGAGAACUGCAAGAAGAGGUUGCACUCUUUUUUUCUUUUUUCCUUUUUUUUUCCCCCAGUCUCUCCAGUUUGGGAUUUGGGGAUUUUAAGUUAAUUUAGGUUAAAGGCUGAUUUCAAACCAGCUUUUUGGCAGUGCUGUCCUCCCACGGCUCUAGUCACAGUCAGUGCAUAUUCUUGAAAUUCAGUCCUGUCUCUGAAAAGAACUUUAAGCAGCUAAUUCAUACUUGGGCACCCAGCUGUUUGCUGAACUUUAUAGAGAAUCAAGCGUGCAGAGUGUGUGUGUGACAUUAGCGUCCAAAGUCAGUGGUCACUUUUAAAGUGGAGGUUUACAGCCUCCAGGGAAGCAAUGAGAAAGUCAGUGCUUAGAUUCAAAAUGUCCUAAUAUCCUGUGGCAUGUUUUACUUCUGAAGCUAUGCUGGGUCUCAUGUUGAACGACGGUAUGUUGUAGGCACAGUCUCAAUAUUGGAUUUGUUUGCAUGAAUGAAUACUUGUUUUACAAAACCCAUUCUUGCUUCUAUUUUAUUCUCAAAGUAGCCGGAGGGAAUGUCAGUCAGGGUCCAGCAUCAAAGCUGCUGACUUCAUGUAGCCUCAUUCUCAUGCAGAUGCAUGGUGGAUGAUCAAGUGUUGAAAGCAUGUGAGGAGCAUGUGCAUGUGUGCCUCUGUGCAUGCACACGUGCAUAUGUGUGUAUGGAAAUGUUGUAGAAAGAGGGGGGGAAUCUACAGCCAAGUGUGCAAAAAUGCUUCUCAUCAACUUUCUGUUAGAAUUUCAUAGUAUACUUAAAGAAAAAUAUUUUUUCUUAUUUUGUAUCACCUUUGUCUUUUUCUAUUUCUAUCUCUCUGUACAUAACCUUACCAAUCUUUCAGUUCUCUGUUGUCUGGGCUAUAAUAUCUCUUCUUGCAUUAUUUGUUACUAUUGUUGCAAAUAUGCUCUGUUUCCUUAAUAGUCAAUUUUCUAAAUCCAUUCUAGAAUUUAUGAAUGCAAUAAACUUUAGAUCUUCUCUUAUACCUUCUUUUAAUUUCUAUUCUUUUCAUUCUGUUUCUGUUCUGGAUAAUGAAUCACCUCCAGUACUGGCCAUCUUCUAAAUGCUGGACAUGCAGACAGAGGCUGUAAAGGAAAUAAGCAAGGAUAUACAAACUGCCCAGGGCUUCGUCAGCAAAGGGAGAGACUACACAUGAUUCUACUUAAAUGCGUAGUCAACCCAACAUUAAUAAGCUUGUGGAAUAAGUACAGAAGGUGAUCUGGCUGCUGUGUGUGCAUAUAAAUGUGGAUUCUCUAGGAAAGCACAGCGUCUUGGUCACUUCAAAAUUACUUUUCCACGUGGGAGCUGUUUUCAUCUUAGACAUCCUUCCAGCCACUCAGGGAAACUGCACAUUGCCUCCCCGUGAUCUUCUUAAAGUAAUAGCUGUAGUACGAGUGACAGCAUAAUACAAAGACUCAGGCUCUGUUUGCUCCGUUGACUGCAGUAGGAGGGUGAAGAGGUCUUUUCCUGUAUUUUCAGCUGGUGGGUUGUGCUGGGUCUCACACCUGUGCUGAAAUUAGAACAGACAAUUUUUCAUCCUUUAUGCUUUCUGCAUGUAUCCAUUUAAUUUAGGAGCCCUGGUAACCUCUGUAGUAGAUACUGAAAGAUAGGUGUUAUCAAUGUCUGUUCAUCCCUCCGGAUCUCUAGUUGAGAAGGAAGUGGUAGAUUUGAAUUCAGAAAGCAGAACUGCAAGGUCUCUAGGAGGCUGCAGAUGAGAAAAAAUGUUUAGAAAUGAUCUAUAGAUGGACUGGAAAAGGGGGAGAGAGGGAAAUUGAGAGGGAAUGCAGAGAUGAAGGGAAAACUGACUUACAGGAAGGACAGAAGACUGCAAAAGAGCUACAGGUCUGUGAAAGAUCUAUGGAGACUUGGUGAGGAAAUGGGUUAGAAUAAGAAAUCCAGAGGCUAUCAGAUAAGAGCUGUCUGUGUUAAGAGACUGAGGCCCUUCUGAGGGUCUCUGUCUUCAAAAUCCGUUAGGAGACUGAUAGAAAGUUCCAGCUCCAUCUACAGUGGCUCUUCAUCGAGGCUGGAAACUUUCUGCCACUAUAUCAACUAUCACAUGAACUGUUGUGACAGAAUAUAAUGCAGUGAAUCUAAAGAUUUCAUGACCAUUGAGAAUAUAUCUAUAUCAAAAAGGUACAUAAGAUGAACAGCAGAAUUUGUAUGUGGAUUUGCACACAUAUAUUAACAUUUUAAUAGUUAAGUAAUUAAUGGAAACACUGGCAAUUCAAGCUUAGAAUGUACAAGCAUUUUUUUCACGUACAGUUAGAAGUCAGUAUUUUACAUGAAUGCAUGGGUAACGAAGAAUGGAUUUUAGUAUUUCACAUACUGGACUGUCUAGAUCUCUCAUUGAUGACUAAAUAUGAAAUCAUCUUUAACCAAUACAAGAAGUUAAAUGAAAAGUUUAUAUAAAAAUGGGGAUUGACUGGAGAGUUAGAAUCAAAAUGAGAGAGGGCUUGCCCAAUAGUUCGUCUCCCAUGUGGUCCACAGCCUGGGAGGCACAGAGGAGAAACCAGGGGAGCCCUGCUAAGUCCCAGAAGGCAGAAUUGAACUUUGCUUCCCAGGGACAACUGAUUUUGAACAGAAAAGGCCUUCUCUUCUUCUCGUCCUGUGGCAAGGCAAAGCUUAUCUUUCUUCAUCUGGAGGAAAUGUCCAGCUGACUAAUUAGAGGGGUGCAUGGCAUCUGUUUUCUUGCACUGUGGCUUGAAUAGAACCAAGACCCCCCAGAAUUGGGCAGGAAGGUGAGACUACUCCGUUCUUUCCUCAGGGCUGAAAAUGAACUGCAAAUGGAAACCAUGCAUGGUGACCCUCUAUCUGAAUCUUUGGAGAACAUUCCCGUUCCUGACGAGUCAAAAUUAGCUGGUGGAGAUGCUUUUGUCUAUUUAUUAAACAGAGCGUGCAACGUGACGACUUAAAAUUGAGAUGUUUCAAGUGAAUUCCCAUAGUAGAUGGGAAAGCUUCAUUCUUAAGCUUGCAGGUAGUCCAUGAGUGCACAGAGGAAAAGUCACUGUAAUAUGGACAUUUUAUAUGGCACACAGGAGUUUCCCUGGACAUAAUAAUUUCCUGGGAGAUAAUCUGCAUGACAAUGGAUUGGAGUCCCUGGGAAUAUUAGCAACAACAAAGCAGAGUUCUGUAAUACAACUCAGUACUUGUAGAUACAAUGAAUACAAAGGACUGAAUGCAAUGCUAUGGUUGGCCUUUAUCCAGUCUUCUUAUUUAAGAACAGUCUGAAAUUCAACAGAUGUUCAAUCAGCCAAGAUCCAAGAUGGAAGAAAAGAAAGAAAAGAGCAAUAUAGUCAGAAAUGCGGGGUGGAAUAUGAAGGCUUGGGCAUGAUGGUGGUAACGAUUUUUAAAGAGGAUGGAAGAAACAACUCUUUCUUGGAGCCAGUCUCUCUGAGACAGUCCAGGGGGAAGUUCAGCAUUCCUUGGCAACCAGAAAACAGAUUAAUAUAGAGUUAAUAACAUUCCCAAGGUCAGCAUUCUCCUGUUGAAACAGAUUCUAAUAUAGAAGGCUACAUGCAAGCUAUUUUUGUGCCUACAAUGACUGCUGUGUUUGCCUCCACUCCCGGCAUCACUCUCAUUGUACUGUAUGUAAAGCACUUUGGGACACAUUGGCUAUGAAAGGAAGUUCAAUUUGUGAAACCAAAUUCUAUUCUACCCACAGUCACUGCACACUGAGCUGGGUCAGCUCUGCAUUCAUUGCACUUUUUUUUUCCCCCUACAGAAUUUACAGCUUCUGCCUGCCUUUUGAGUUACUGAGGAAGCAUACACAUGAUUUUAUGUCAUGCAGAUAUUAUAUCUUUAUGUGUAAAAAUAUAUGCACACUUACACAUACACACAUGUGCACACAGACGCUGAAGAAGUGACUCAUAAGGAGAAGCAAGAAACAGGGAAAAAAUUAGCUCAUGCCUUUCUUUGCUCGAAAAUUUCUAUUGCAUUUCUGCUGAAUGAUGUUCCUGUAUUAUCUACAUAAUAAGUACCCUCUUUCUUCAGAUAAUUAAAGAGACGCUGUCCAUAUCCAAUGAAAAUUAUAUAUUUAUACAUGGCAACCUUCUAUUAAUAAACAUGUGAGAUUGUUACAACUGAACAAAACCUCACAACUCGUCUUUAUUUCCCUCCACUUAGGCUCUUUAUUAUUCUUCUCCUUAUGCAUUUAGCCCUGGUGAAAGUUGCCAGAGAAACAGUUCCCGUAAAAGGGCAAGGCAAUGCAGCCUGUUGUCUCACACCUGGAGUCUCAUGAUUUGGACUGACUUCUUGGUUCUGUUCUCUGAUGUGGCUGUGGGCCACUUUGUUUGUGUUUCCUGAGCUCUAAAAUUGGAAUAGCUUUAUUUUCCCCUUACCUCUCUCUCACAGAGUCUUUCAGUGAAACACAAUAGAAAACCAUUGUCUUUUUCAAGGCUGAGUGGGAUAUCACUGUCUCCAGAGUGUGAUCCUGUAUGCCCCAUUAUGUAUGAAAAACCUACCUCUGGAUCUGAUGGUGAAUUUUGGAUUCCAGUAUUGUGGUCUACGAUGUAACAUUAGCAUCAUACAAAGUUAUAUGGUACCAGUAGAUGCAAUUAAAACCAAAGAAACAACAACAAUGAAAGAAAGAAAGAAAGAAACAAACAAAAAACCAACCAACCAGCCAAUAAACCACAAGAACCUAAAAAACACAACAGCAACAACAAGAGAACAACCAGCCAAACAAAAAACAAAACAAAACAAAACAAAACAAAAAAAUCAGUUGCACGAAUUUAAAGAAAGUCUUGAAGAAACCUAAUCAUUGGCAAAACAUCCAUCGCUAUGUCUGUGUUUUAUGGGGUUUUUUUGUUUUGUUUUUUGUUUUUUUGUUUUUUUCCUUAGCAGUGGGGUUGGAUUGAUUAAAAGAUUAAUUUAUCUUCUACUCUGACUCACUUUCUUCCUGUGUUUAAGUUAUCAUCAUUUCAAAAGCUUGUACUAUAUUCUAUUGUACCUCUGGAAAGAAUUAAACAAAACUCACGUCUCUUAAAAUAAAUCUCUAUAGAAAAUUAACUUUUUCUUUUUCAACCUAGUACACAAACACAUACAAAGAACAUUUAGCAG